UACAGAGGUCUCAAGCGUUGUUCGGAUUCAUUGGGCGUAAAGGGUGCGUAGGCGGCGCGGUAAGUCGGGUGUGAAAUCUCGGAGCUUAACUCCGAAACUGCAUUCGAUACUGCCGUGCUUGAGGACUGGAGAGGAGACUGGAAUUUACGGUGUAGCGGUGAAAUGCGCAGAUAUCAGGAGGAACACCAAUGGCGAAGGCAGCACUCUGGGACGUGACUGACGCUGAGACGCGAAAGCGUGGGGAGCAAACAGG
rnacentral:rRNA from 1 species